rnacentral:rRNA from 1 species
GACGAACGCUGGCGGCGUGCUUAACACAUGCAAGUCGAACGAUGAAGCCGGAGCUUGCUCUGGUGAAUUAGUGGCGAACGGGUGAGUAACACGUGAGUAACCUGCCCUUGACUCUGGGAUAACUGCGGGAAACUGUAGCUAAUACCGGAUACGACCCUCGGAGGCAUCUCCUGGGGGUGGAAAGAAUUUCGGUCAAGGAUGGACUCGCGGCCUAUCAGCUAGUUGGUGAGGUAAAGGCUCACCAAGGCAACGACGGGUAGCCGGCCUGAGAGGGUGACCGGCCACACUGGGACUGAGACACGGCCCAGACUCCUACGGGAGGCAGCAGUGGGGAAUAUUGCACAAUGGGCGCAAGCCUGGUGCAGCAACGCCGCGUGAGGGAUGACGGCCUUCGGGUUGUAAACCUCUUUUAGCAGGGAAGAAGCGAAAGUGACGGUACCUGCAGAAAAAGCACCGGCUAACUACGUGCCAGCCGCCGCUGUAA